GCCUGGGUGGCUCAGUCGUUAAGCGUCUGCCUUCAGCUCAGGUCAUGUGGGAUCAAGCCCUGCAUCAGGCG
rnacentral:tRNA from 1 species